rnacentral:rRNA from 1 species
AACGAACGCUGGCGGCGUGCUUAACACAUGCAAGUCGAGUGCGCGUCCCGGUAGCAAUACCGGGAUGGCGCACGGCGCACGGGUGCGUAACACGUGGGCAAUCUGCCCUCCGAUGGGGAAUAACUCCGGGAAACCGAAGCUAAUUCCGCAUAACAUUCCCUGGACUCCGGUUCGGGGAUUCAAAGCAGCAAUGCGUCGGAGAAGGAGCCCGCGCCCGAUUAGCUAGUUGGUGAGGUAAUUGCUCACCAAGGCGACGAUCGGUAGCUGGUCUGAGAGGAUGAUCAGCCACACUGGGACUGAGACACGGCCCAGACUCCUACGGGAGGCAGCAGUGGGGAAUAUUGGACAAUGGGCGCAAGCCUGAUCCAGCCAUGCCGCGUGGGUGAUGAAGGCCCUAGGGUUGUAAAGCCCUUUCGGCGGGGAAGAUAAUGACGGUACCCGCAGAAGAAGCCCCGGCUAACUUCGUGCCAGCAGCCGCGGUAAUACGAAGGGGGCUAGCGUUGCUCGGAAUCACUGGGCGUAAAGCGCACGUAGGCGGAUCGUUAAGUCGGGGGUGAAAUCCUGGAGCUCAACUCCAGAACUGCCUCCGAUACU